CUUACAGGUCGGUGCCGAGCCGCGUGAAGCCGGAGUUGAGCGAGGCCCGGGCUAUCCGGCGCCAGAGCAGGUCGCAGCUGGUGAAGCGCCGCAGCCAGCGGCACACCUGCGCCAGGCGGCCGAGGGCCCGCAUGUCCAGCAGCUGUUUCAAACACAAACGCAGAGAUGAAUGAGGAAAAUCCCCUACAUUUAAAAUCCACCAUGGCGAGAAAAGCAGGAAGAGGGCCAAGCUAGCCCCUGGGGAUUUUCCCAGGUUCAGUAGAUUGACCUGGAAACAAGGAGUACAGAUUGAGCUCUUCUUCCUUGAGCGGCACAAGCACUGGUCAGAGAAGUUUCCAAACACAUGGAGCUUAGUGAGACCACCUGCUCCUAACACAGGACAAUGGCUACUAGACCACCAACUCUGUUGCUUCGAGUCAACACCAGCUCUCCUUUACAACAGAUGACAGGCUUUCUGCCAGAGGAGUCUGCCGGUGAAACAGCGAGCAAAGAGAGGCUAAACUUUACAUGUGCAAUAGAAGCUCAUAAAUUAGGAACCAAAUGGACAGAUGAAAAAAACUGAAAUUGAACGAGGUCGGGCAGUAGAAGCAAACAAUACUCACAGGGAUAUCAGCUCCGGCAAGGCAGAGCUAAGAGUUCAAAUCCUCACUUGACAAGGGCAUGAGACUCCAAAUGCCACAGAGGCCCCAAUAUGCCCAGGUUCUCACGCAUGCCGUCAGCAUGACCAGUCUCAGUGGAGGCGUGGCACAACCCAGGGGAUCUAAUCUAUAACCUCCCAAGAUCUUCAUCUCUUAGACGACUCAACAAUAGGAAAGGAGUCGCAACAGUCAGGCCCCAUAGCUUGCUUUGCCCUCCCCAAAGAACUGAGGUCAACUAGAAGUUCCAAUUUCCCUGAAGUCAUGUAUGAGAUAGCAUGUCAAAUUGGUUUUCAAUUAAAAGUAUAUAAGAAAAUGUUUAAUAAUAUUUCAUAGGUUAAGGGAAUUAAAGUUAAUACCAGCUGCUGGAAGGAAAUUCUCAAUACAGAAUCCUACGUUAACCCAUAUAGGAAAGUCAAUGAAAAAUGGAAUUUUAAAUUUUUAAGCAGGUAGGUCACGACACAGUCCAGGCGGGAUCCAUGAUGAGACUGAGAGGAAAUAAUUCAAAAAAUAAUUCAAAGUCUUGGCACCACAUAACUGCCAUAAUUCUGCUUGUUUGUCUGUUUGUUUUUUUGAAAACUAUAAACCCACAUCCCUUUGGGUAAUUGUUUCAGUUUUUAAAUGUUUAGAAAACAAAAUUUUAAAACUUGUUCAAGAGCCCUCCGGGUUACAAUUCAGUCACUUAUUUACGGUACCUAGGAUAGAGUCACAGACACAACCUGUGAGGAAAGAAGCCACGAUUAGAGAAUAGAAGCGUUUGGAACAGAUGUAUUCCAAACUGUUUAAAUAAACCAUGGAACACCUGUAGAAUAGGAUACUAAGCAACUGUGAGAAAGAAUGAGGAAGACCAUGCGCACUGCUAUAGAACGAUCUCUAAUAUACAUUAAGGGGAAAAGCAAGCCACAGAAGAGUGUAUAUCAUACGUUGCCAUUUGCAGGGGAAACUACAUGUGUGUGCUUUGACUUUUGUACGCCAAAGAUCUCUGGAGAGAUACACGCCAAAGAUCUCUGGAGAGAUACACAAAAACCUAGCACCAAGGUCUGCUUCUAAGAAGGGGAACUGGGUGCCAUGCUAUUUUAUACCUUUUGAAUUUUUAACUCUUAACUAUUUGUAUGUAUCAUCUAUCAAACAACAAGCUUUACCUCUAAAAAAGGGGCACUCUUAAAAAAGUGAAAGAGCAUUUUCAAACAUGUUUUGGGCAAAUGGGAGAGGCCAUAAUGAAAGAAAUUGCCAUUAUUUUGCAAUAGAGAGCUAUAGCUGACAAGCGGGAGGGGGAAUGUGCAAUCUGUUCACUGGAUGUCAGAAGAUAGAUCAAAACGAAUACCCAGACUGUGAAAAUAUGGUUAAUUACUGACAGAAGGAAAAACCAUAAAGUCCAUCCCAUUGCAUUUAAGUGAGCAGUGAUACGUCAAGGAAAAGGGACUAAAUAGGAAGAAAAUACUGGAGUUCAACCAAAAAUAUAAAGAGAAAGAAAAUAUAAAGAGAAAGAAAAUCAUUUGUGAAAUACAGUUUCAGAAUGUUGUAAUAUCACAGUAAAAUGUAUAAAGAAAUUUUCAAAUGAACUCUGUCAGAUCCUGAAAUCAGUAAAACAAUUUCACUUUCUUAAAAUACUUCCACAAACACACCCCUAAAGCACACACACAUUCAGACACAUGCUGAAAGCAGCCUGUGGGACCAUUAGGACAAUUCUGGACUUUAUGGCUAUUUCUUUUUUACGGGUCAUUCUUUGCAUUUUUACUGCCCUAAAUUUACCUCUUAAGUCACAGCAAUGCAGAUUGAGCUUGCUUUCUUCUUUAGUUUUGUUUCCAACCAAAUCUUUUGUACAUUUCUGGAAUUUAAGCCACCUCAGUUACCGCUACUUAUCUAUAACACCAUUGCUUUGAGGGAUUAAAGCAGGUUUCUUGUAAUACACUUAGAUCAAGAGUUAUCUGAGUUGAGAAGAAUAUCCUGUUUGAGUUGGGGAUGGGGACUCUUUUUUUAUUUUUAUUUUUUAUUUAUUUUUUUUGAUCUUGAGUUGUUUUGAUUUCCCCUGAGAGCCGUAAUCUUCAGCAAGUGAUAUUUUUUAAAAAGCCCCCAACACACCACAAAACAUUCCAAGUGAUUUUAACUCCUGAAUGAGGUUGGGCUACCUGAGUGAUUCUCUCUCUUCUCUUCUUUGGCAGAAAGGAUUAGAAACCUCCACAGAACUUGCUCUCUAUUAAAGUGGAGUGCUGUGCAUUCAUUGGCAAGAGGUGAAUUGUUUUCAGAUUACAUGUGAAAGAGUGUGUGUGUUUCUUUCCCACAUCAAAGACUUGGAUGGAGGCAGUUCUGAGUAUUGCCAGGGAUGCAAGAAUUGGUGCUAAAGUGAUUAACAAAAUUGCUUUCCUGCAAAAGAAGCACAAAACAUUACCUAGGGAUUAGAGGAGGAGAGGGCAAGAUUAAAGGUGAUGUUGAAUUUUGGGUGGAAUAUCUUAUCCAUCUUUUUCAAAUCAUGCUUCAAGGAUUCUGCAGCCCCUCCUCGGGGAAACCUGAGCAAAUCAAGGUCUUGCUUUCUCAAAUUUUGUACACAGGGGCUCCGACAGGGUAAAAUUAAAACUACUAACAUAAGCAGUGCUCACUCGUGACCUCCACAUCUUCAUCUCACACUACAAAUAUAUUUGGAUUUGGGAUGGAUUUUACUCAGCACACACCAACGACUCCGGUGAUCAAAGAUUCUUUCAUUUGUAAUUGGUACGUGUAUCCACCUGUUGGAUUUAAACGAUAGUGUUUUGUAGAGUUUCUGGAGUUGUCUGGUUUUAGCAAAUCUUGACCUGAUUAGUAUAGCAUCCCUUGGAAAACCUACUUUCCCAGUGAAAUCUCCAUCUAGCCAAAAUGUGAAAAACACAAACCAAACCAAAAUAAUAAUAAUAAUAGGACCUAUAUUCCAAAUAGUGAAGGAAAGAUAAUAAUCAUGCAGUAAACCUCACAAUUACUAGUUUAGGAAAUUAUUUUAAAGGGUAUCUCUAAAAUGCCCUGUGACAUUCUUUGUCAUGUAGCAUUUUUUUGAUCUAUUCUAAAAACUGAAUUUAGGCCACCCUUCCUCCAAGAAGUCUCCUGACUUUGGUCUCCUAAUCAGAGACAGGCAGAAACAUAUAGGUACAUGUAACUGUUCCAGUGUGAAUAAACUUUUCUUCCUCUUUGCUUUCUUCCUUUAAAACAUUAAGCCCCCAGAAGGAAUGACACACAUAUCUGGAUAGGUGGGGAAAACGUAAAGUUGAGUGCAAUUGCAAAAUAAAUAAAUUCGAAGCAAUACAUACAGUAUGAUGCCAUUCAUGAGAAAAGUUAACACAAAAAACAGUAUCUUAACUCUUGAGGGAGCAUAUGUAUGUAUAGAAAAGUACAAAAAAGAGAACAGAAUUAUCAAUCUUAAACUCAUGCUGGUGGCUGCCUCUGGGAAGGAAGGUGGGAAAUGAGAUUGGGGGUCGUGGUUAAAGAAAAUUUUAGCAACAUCUAUAACAUUUAUUUCUUUUAAAGGGAAAAAAUCCCAUUAAGCUAAGAUGAUUCACUUAGGCAUAGUUAGGGGAUGUGAACAGUCAUUGAAAUUGUUACCUAAACACACAGCAGAGGUUUGAGAUCUCAUCUUUGUCCUCUUCUGUUUUUUUCGUUUUCUUGGUCAGACACAACUUAUGUCUCACUUCCUUUACAACAACAAUAAAACCUGUUCCAGAUUGAUUAAAUAAUUCAGAAGAGUUGUUAUCUUCUCUUUUCCCACAAUAACAUCAUCCUCCCAAAUUUACGUGCCAUGGUGAUGGAACUUGAUCUCUGCAGGUGUUCUGUAAAGAGGGUGACACACUGUGAGUCCUCAGUAAAGAGAAUAAAUAAAUGAAUAGAUAAAUAA